rnacentral:lncRNA from 1 species
AAGCCAGUUGUACAGGAACUGCCAAAGGCAACAGAAAUUCUUUCUCCCUAUGUCCCAGCCUACCCCCACUUUACCGAGGCCAACAGCCGCCUCAGAAACCAGAUUCAGGAGCUAACAUGCCCCAGGUCUCACGAGGAUCAGAGACUCCAGAGGCCAGGGAAGGAGAUCAAGGUAGUCAAGCGGGGGUCGUCUCAGAUCUGGUUGUGCUCGAGCUAUGCAAAUGCCUCUCACGGAGAUGCGAGGACCUAUCUAUUAUGAUGACCAGGGCCACAUCCGGAGGGGGCAACAGACUUUCAUCUAUCAGCCCUUUUCAACCACUGAUCUACUAAACUGGAAACACUCUGAACCCUGCCAUCUUGCUCCUGGUAUCAGAGAGCCCUGUCGUGCAUAACUGUGUAGAAGUGUUGGACUCGGUUUACUCCAGCAGACCUGAUCUCCGGGACCAGCCUUGGGCAUCAGUAGACUGGAAGCUAUAUGUGGACAGGAGCAGCUUCAUCAACCCACAAGGAGAGAGAUGUGCGGGAUAUGUGGUGGAACCCUGGACACUGUCGUUGAAGCCAGAUCGUUGCUCCAAGGCACUUCAGCCCAGAAAGAUGAGCUCAUUGCUUUAAUUUGGGCCUUAGAACUCAGUUAAGGCCUUCUACGGUCCCAGGCUUUCUGCUGCAUACACUGAAGGGCCACGAAGUACAGUCAUCUGGACUUGGCACCUGGAAUACAAGGAUGGAAAGCAUCAUUUCUGCCAGCUUCUUAUGGUCCUGAGGCGAGACAGUCAUGAGAGAGGAAAACUGCAAUGACUUCUGACCACUGCCAGCCUCGCUUCCUGCAUUUUCUUCUUCGGCUUACUCUUGCCAAGUUGGAGUUGCCUAACUUCCAAGAGGUGGACCCAUAGGGGACCCAAAGGGACCCAUAG